rnacentral:rRNA from 1 species
AUUCCUUUCGCUCUAAAAAGGCGGGGGGAGUCUUCUUCUUGUUGGAUCGCAAAGUUUUACUUUGAAUAAAUUAGGGUGUUCAAAGCAGACGAAUACGUCUUGAAUAGAUUAGCAUGGGAUAAUAGAAUAAGACCUUCCUCCGCGAUCCGUCGCGGUUGGCUUAUAUUUGCUGGUUUCUUAGGCCAGGGUAAUGAUUAAUAGGGACGGUUGGGGUCGCUCGUACUCGGUGGUGAGAGGUGAAAUUCUAAGACCCAUCGAAGACGAACAAGUGCGAAGGCAUUCGACAAGGAUGUUUUCUUUAAUCAAGAACGAAAGUUAUGGGAUCGAAGAUGAUCAGAUACCGUCGUAGUCAUAACCGUAAACUAUGUUGACUCGGGAUCUGGGGAUGUUACAUGGAUGGCUCUCCGGGCACCGUGUGCGAAAGCACAAGUAUUCGAACUCCGGGGGGAGUAUGGUCGCAAGGCUGAAACUUAAAGGAAUUGACGGAAGGGCACCACCAGGUGUGGAAUCUGCGGCUUAAUUUGACCCAACACGGGGAAACUUACCCGGUCAGGACGCGAUGAGGAUUGACAGAUUGAUAGUUCUUUCUUGAUUUUGUGGAAGCCGGUGCAUGGCCGUUUUUAGUUGGUGGAGUGAUUUGUCUGGUUAAGUCCGAUAACGAACGAGACCUAACUCUAUUAAAUAGUGGUGCGAACAAGGGAGCUCUCGCGGCAGGCUCGGGUUCUCCCGGGUUUGUCGAGGUGGGGCUUCCGUUCAUUUGUUCGUAGCGAACGAUACUUCUUAGAGAGACACUUGGUCGAUAACAGCAGCCAAUGGAAGUUUUAGGCAAAAACAGGUCUGUGAUGCCGCUAGAUGUCCGGGGCUGCACGCGCGUUACACUGAUGUGUUCAACAAGUAUUACAAAAUGACCUGGCCCGAAGGGGCUUGGGCAAUCUCGUAAUGCACAUCGUGAUGGGGAUCGUGCUUUGUAACUAUCGCACGUGAACGAGGAAUACCUAGUAAGGACAGGUCAUCAACCUGCCCUGAUUACGUCCCUGCCCUUUGUACACACCGCCCGUCGCUUCUACCGAUUGAAUUACUCGAUGAGGACUCGGGAGGCGGGGCACGAUCCGGUUUUACCGCCGGUGACGUUUUGCCGAACCUGUUCGAAUCUCGUAGUUUAGAGGAAGAAGAAGUCGUAACAAGGUCUCUGUAGGUGAACCUUCAGAGG